GACGAACGCUGGCGGCGUGCUUAACACAUGCAAGUCGAACGGAAAGGCCCUGCUUUUGUGGGGUGCUCGAGUGGCGAACGGGUGAGUAACACGUGAGUAACCUGCCCUUGACUUUGGGAUAACUUCAGGAAACUGGGGCUAAUACCGGAUAGGAGCUCCUGCUGCAUGGUGGGGGUUGGAAAGUUUCGGCGGUUGGGGAUGGACUCGCGGCUUAUCAGCUUGUUGGUGGGGUAGUGGCUUACCAAGGCUUUGACGGGUAGCCGGCCUGAGAGGGUGACCGGCCACAUUGGGACUAAGAUACGGCCCAGACUGCUACGGGAGGCAGCAGGGGGGAAUAUUGCACAAUGGGCGGAAGCCUGAUGCAGAAACGCCGCGUGCGGGAUGACGGCCUUCGGGUUGUAAACCGCUUUCGCCUGUGACGAAGCGUGAGUGACGGUAAUGGGUAAAGAAGCACCGGCUAACUACGUG
rnacentral:rRNA from 1 species